rnacentral:miRNA from 1 species
GCUCUCUAUGCUUCUCUCAUC